rnacentral:rRNA from 1 species
UACGUAGGGAGCAAGCGUUAUCCGGAUUUACUGGGUGUAAAGGGAGCGCAGGCGGUGCGGCAAGUCUGAUGUGAAAGCCCGGGGCUCAACCCCGGGACUGCAUUGGAAACUACCGAACUAGAGUGUCGGAGAGGUAAGUGGAAUUCCUAGUGUAGCGGUGAAAUGCGUAGAUAUUAGGAGGAACACCAGUGGCGAAGGCGGCUUACUGGACGAUAACUGACGCUGAGGCUCGAAAGCGUGGGGAGCAAACAGG